rnacentral:rRNA from 1 species
GAGUUUGAUCCUGGCUCAGGAUGAACGCUGGCGGCGUGCCUAACACAUGCAAGUCGAGCGAGAAGUUUAUGGAGUGCGUUUUCGGACAAGUGAAGUAAACGGAAAGCGGCGGACGGGUGAGUAACGCGUAGGCAACCUGCCCCAUACAGAGGGAUAGCCUCGAGAAAUCGGGAUUAAAACCUCAUAAUGCCAUCGAGUCACAUGGCUCUUUGGCCAAAGAUUUAUCGGUAUGGGAUGGGCCUGCGUCUGAUUAGCUAGUUGGUGAGGUAACGGCUCACCAAGGCUGCGAUCAGUAGCAGAACUGAGAGGUUCAUCUGCCACAUUGGAACUGAGACACGGUCCAAACUCCUACGGGAGGCAGCAGUGAGGAAUAUUGCACAAUGGGCGAAAGCCUGAUGCAGCAACGCCGCGUGAGCGAUGAAGGCCUUUGGGUCGUAAAGCUCUGUCCUUGGGGAAGAAACAAAUGACGGUACCCUUGGAGGAAGCCCCGGCUAACUACGUGCCAGCAGCCGCGGUAAUACGUAGGGGGCGAGCGUUAUCCGGAAUUAUUGGGCGUAAAGAGUGCGUAGGUGGUCUUGUAAGCGUGGGGUGAAAGGCAGUGGCUUAACCAUUGUUAGCCUUGCGAACUGUGAGACUUGAGUGCAGGAGAGGAAAGUGGAAUUCCUAGUGUAGCGGUGAAAUGCGUAGAUAUUAGGAGGAACACCAGUGGCGAAGGCGACUUUCUGGACUGUAACUGACACUGAGGCACGAAAGCGUGGGGAGCAAACAGGAUUAGAUACCCUGAUAGUCCACGCCGUAAACGAUGAACACUAGGUGUCGGGGUUUAAAGACUUCGGUGCCGCAGUUAACGCAUUAAGUGUUCCGCCUGGGG